GAUGAACGCUGGCGGCGUGCCUAAUACAUGCAAGUCGAGCGGAUAAAGGGGGCUCUUGCCCCGAUUCAGUUAGCGACGGGCGGGUGAGUCACACGUAGCUGACCUGCCUUUGAGCAUGGCAUAACUUCGGGAACCCUAAGCUAACACCGGAUCAUAUGUUGAAACGCAUGGUUCAUCAGAGAUCGAUGUAUUUGCUGAGCCUAGUUCGGAUUAGCUAGUUGGUUGGGUAAAGGCCUACCAAGGCGACGAUCCGUAACUUGUCUGAGAGGCUGAUCAGCCACACUGGAACUGAGACACGGUCCAGACUCCUACGGGAGGCAGCAGUGGGGAAUUUUGGCCAAUGGGCGAAAGCCUGAUGGAGCAAGGCCGCGUGAGUGAGGAAGGUCUUCGGAUGGUAAAGCACUUUAAUUUGGGAGGAAGGGAAGUAAGUUAAAACCUUCAUGUCUUGACGGUACCUACAGAGAAAGCAACGGCUAACUACGUG
rnacentral:rRNA from 1 species